AGGCGCGUAGCUCAGUAGGGAGAGCGCCGGCCCGACACGCCGGAGGUCGGGGGUUCAAGUCCCCCCGCGCCUACCA
rnacentral:tRNA from 1 species